rnacentral:rRNA from 1 species
CCUACGGGGGGCAGCAGUGAGGAAUAUUGGUCAAUGGGCGUAAGCCUGAACCAGCCAAGUCGCGUGAGGGAUGAAGGUUCUAUGGAUCGUAAACCUCUUUUAUAAGGGAAUAAAGUGGGGGACGUGUCCUAUUUUGUAUGUACCGUACGAAUAAGGAGCGGCUAACUCCGUGCCAGCAGCCGCGGGAAUACGGAGGAUACGAGCGUUAUUCGGAUUUAAUGGGUUUCAAGUGUGCCGAGGCUGCCUUAUAAGUUAGGUGUGAAAAUCUGGGGCUCAACCCUAGCAUUGCCGUGGAAACUGGAGAGCUUGAGUAUGAAUGAGGCAGGCGGAAUGCGUGGUGUAGCGGUGAAAUGCUUAGAUAUCACGCAGAACCCCGAUGGCGAAGGCAGCCUGCCAGGCCAUGACUGACGCUGAUGCACGAAAGCGUGGGGAUCAAACAGGAUUAGAUACCCGAGUAGUC